GACAGAAUUUUCAUUUUAAGGUGAACUAUCCCUUUAAAGUCAAAAAGGUUUAGAAUAGAUCUACUGAACUUACCAGUUAGUAAAGAUUUUGGAGAGUGGCACCACCUAGUGGUGAACCCUAUUAAAACAUGCUUCAGGUUAAAUCUUACAACGUAUGAUCUACCAGUAGCAUCUGUGUCAUUUUUUAUAAGAUAAUGUUACCUUUGCAUACUGGAAACACAAUUUUUGUUUUGUUUUUACAAAAUAGGGGCAAAUCUUAAUGAUGUGCUUAUGGUACAAAUGUUGUUGUUAUGGGCUUGAAUCUGGAACAAUCCUUUAAUUCAAAUGUGAUCCUGGACCACAAAACCAGGGUCAAUUGUUAAAAAUUGAGAUGUAUACAUCAUCUGAAAGAUAAAUAAGUGUUUUAGGAUAUGACAAUUUUUGGCCAAGAUACAACUAUUUGAAAAUCUGGAAUAUGAGGGUGCAAAAAAUCUAAAUAUUAAUGAAAUCGUUUUUAAAGUUGUCCAGAUUAAGUCCUUAGCAACACAUAUUACUAAUGAUAUACAUACAUUUUGAUAUAUUUAUGGUAUGUUCAUUUACUGUACAUUUACUAAAUAUCUUCAUGGAACAUGAUCUUUACUUCAUAUCCUAAUGAUUUUUGGCAUAAAAAUAAUUUUGACCCAUACAAUGUAUUGUUGGCUAUAGCUACAAAUAUACCGGUGCGACAUAUGACUAGUUUUGUGGUCCAGGGUCACAUAUGCAUUUUAAUUGUGUACUCUUUCCUAUUCUCAUUGUACUUGUAUGUGGUUAUAGUACUGUACAGUAUCUUGGAUAUGGCACAAAAUUUACAUCUUUUAAUUGACAAAAUUUGCUCUUAUGUCACCACAUUAGAUCUGUUGGCAAUUACAUUUUAACCAUUAAAUAAACACUUCCUUGUAAAGAUAAGAUUCUCCACACUUUACCGUCAAGUGUCAUAGUUCAGCCUCUCUACUUUGAUAUCCACCAAUGAAAGGCAGUUUUAGAGAUUCUUACGAAACACCUGCUCGGUUUUCGUUUGUCCUCUGGUCAGACACACCUGUACCACGCAGACCUGUGACUAAAGCUUUGGUUAUAUAUGUUAUUGAUUGAUACUUCAUGUUUUGGAAGUGUCUGCUAUUGUCAUGUAAAAAUUGACACUUGAGUUCACAGUCAGAGCAGGCUGUGUUGUAUAUCAAGAAGCUUGGAGUCUGAAAAAUGGUAAAGAUUUGCAGAAAACGGAAUGAAACUAUUGGUUUAGAGACUCUUUUUGGACUUUUCUGUCUAUUGAUUUAUCUCAAAGCUUCAUUGUGUGACAAAUGCCUUCUUGAUGCCUCAGUGCAGCUCAUGACACCGAAAAGUGAUUACGGAGAGUUCAAGAAUUCCACUUGCCAAAAGGAUUUGUGUAAGAUCACAGCACCGUAUGCAUCUUGGAUUGGAUCUCACAGUAUUACUUUGACCUGGAAGGCUCUGAAUCAAUCGGAUGUUGUGUAUAUUCCUCAAUGGACAAGCCCGAGUCUGUCUGGAGUUUGGGCACAAGCAGAGAACGUUACAGAAUCAACAUACACUGUUGAACAGCUUGAACCUUUCACCUGUUACAAAUUCAGGGUCUGGGCAGUGAAAGCAGAAGAGUACAUUCGUUCACCAGAAAGCCCUUGGUAUCAAACCGAACCAUUUGGAUUGCCAUCUAGCCCUUUUAUUGACAGUGUUGAAAGCCUGUCUGGAGAGAGCGUGGACGUCCACUGGUCUCCACCUGAGAAACCAGGAGGACCCAUUUUAGGCUUUAACCUCAACCUCACAACCAACAAACACAUCAUCAGUGUAGCAACCAGUGGAAAUGUUUUCUUCACCACAUUCUAUCCUACGUCUCAUAACACUACAUACAGGAUCUCUAUAGCUGCUGUUAACAGGGAAGGUCAAGGAUCUGUAGCUGAAGCCAGUAUAACAACACCAGAACGAGCUGAGCAGGAUGGAGGACGUUGGGUGUUUGCAUCUAGAUGGAACACAUUAAGAAAAAGAGAAAAGGAUGCUGAUUUCUUCACUACAGCUGAAUGUCUCUCUGAAGGUCUAAUAGAGAGCAACAUCACAGGAGUGGCCAUGCACUACAGUUCAAACAAGGUGUAUUUUUCUGAAGGGACUCAUAUUUGGGUGAAAGGGGCAGAAAAUCUCACUGACCACUCGGAUCUUAAGCUUCUUCACUCUGCUCAUCUAAAGGUCACAGCACUGACAAUCGAUUGGCUUUAUCAGAGGAUUUACUAUGUUUCCAGCGGUAGGGUCUAUUAUUGUGGAUUAGAUGACUGUUCUGUGCCAGUCAGUGUAAAUCUCACCUUAUUCAGUGACCUUUUAAACAUAAUUGCAGAUCCAUAUAAUGGCUUUUUAUUCUUGCUGAUGCCCAACGGUAUAUUCCGCACCCCUCUUCACGGCCAACAAGAUGAGUUAACACAAAUUGUGAACACAUCGACAAAUGCUUUCUAUGACUUGGUGGUCAGUUUCCCCAAUAAGAGGCUGGUUUUUCACGACAGAAAGGAUCAGAUGCUCAAAGCCGUGUCUCUGGAUGGCUUACACGCGGUUACACUGUACACAAGCGUUACGUUUGGAGCGACCAGUAUUGCUAACGAGAACGAUUUCUUCAUGCUCACCAAUGGAUACGCACUUUACAAACAGGUUGGCCAUGGUCAGGUGGCCAUCUUUAAUGAAUUCCCUAUGGACUGUGAUAUCUUCAAUCAGUAUGAAGGCUUUGGUAAUCUCUGCUAUUUUAGUCCAUCUGCCCAGCCUUACCCUGUACCACAAAGGCCAAGAAAUCUCGGAAUCCUGUUUGGAUCAGAUAAGGCCAAUUUGUACUGGGAUGAACCUGAAAAUAUGAUCGGAGCGAGCUCAUCCGCCUGGCAAAAUUGGACUUAUUCUGUAAACUGCUCAUUGAAUGGUCUGCUGGUGACCAGUAUUAGUGGUGUAAUUGGCACACAUGUAACAAUGUCAGAUCUGCAAAGUUCACAGCGGUACGGUGUUUCUGUCAGGGCUUGUUCUCCUGGUGGAUGUUCUACAUCCGUCUCAUAUGAAGGAUCAACUCUUCACAUUGCGGAUGAGGCACCAUAUAUAGCUGCUGCCGCUCAGUAUGGCAUCUGGAAGCAGGAUUUGGAUAGCAAUGAACUUCUUGAAGCACUGGUGACUAAUAUUAAAGAUGUAAAAGACAUUGACUGGUAUAAUGGAACAAUCUACUGGAGCAACAGCUCAGGCCACAUUAACUGGGUUGAACUAGCUGACCCGUCUGUGAGUGAGAGAGUCAUGACAAAUCCAUUAUCACUAAAGGCUGAAUCUGUGGCGUUUGACUGGCUUGGCCACUAUCUAUACUGGAGCUGCAACUCAAAUCAGAUAUGCAGAGGGUCUACAUCGAAACAGGAUGUUGAGGUAUUUCUCCAAGCAGAUGAUACGAUUCUCAGUUUGGUCAUUGAUUCAUUGAAUGCUGCCAUCUACUGGACCACUAAACUAUCUGUGGAGGGUUGUAGAUUGGAUGGAGGUGGUUAUCAACUUCUGGAUAAAAUGAGCGUGUUCUCUGGAAGAGAGGUUGCUGGAAUCACUUUGGAUGUGAUGGAGAGAAAUCUUUAUUGGCUGGUGAAGGAUGGUACACUGUUACAUCUGUACAGAGCAAACUUUAGCGGAGACAGGAUGCAAGAGCCUAAAGUGGUAGAAUAUGUUAAAUGGACCACAUCUCAAAUCUUGAAUCAUCAAGUGGGCUACUACAGCGGACGACUUGUGUGGCUGGAUGAGAAUAAACAGUUGAGGAUUCAAGAGGUGAACCAAAAAAACAGUGUCCACAUGUCUUCCAGUAACACACUGACAGCCUUUACCAUAGUACAGAAAAUGCUCAAACCUCUGCCAGAUGGGUUCCUGUCUCCUCCUGUAGUUAUUCCACCUGCAGUUCCCAAAACCUCUGUUCAUCUUGAAGGCAAUCACACAUUUUUCCAGAUACUCUGGGAUGCCAUUAAUACUGACUUUGGGAAUGUGUUUUAUUGUGUGGUGUCUAAUGGACUGUCACAAAAUGUGAAACGACUUCAAAAUAACUACCCAAGCAGAUAUUGUCACCCUGCCAAUACAAUUUCUGAGCCAGUCAUAAAUGUGACCAGAUUUAAGCCGGACACUGAAUUUAACGUCACCAUUACUCCCUUUUCAUACUGGGGUAAAGGGGAAUCAACAAGUACAGUUCUCUAUACUCCAGGAAAGGGCUCUUCAAAACAAUCUGACAUGACGUUGGUUAUUGUAAUCAUAGCAGUGUGUGUCAGUAUUGCACUUAUUAUUAUCAUCCUGUCUGCAGUCUUUUGGCACAGACGUCAAAAUAAAAAGGAUCAUGGGACAUCUACACAAACCGGUGUGCAUAUCCACAGCGAUGAGGAGUUGGAGUAUAUCCGAGGUUUGGUUGGUCUUGGGAACGCUUGCUAUGCCGUCAGUGCCAUACCCGCCCAAAGAGAGAUCGAGUCCAUCCCUGUGUUUCCCAGGGACUGUCUGAAGCUCCAGAGGUUGUUGGGAAGUGGAGCGUUUGGAGAGGUUUAUGAAGCUAUCACAGUUGGCAGCCAACUCACUGCUGGAGUCAUGCCAGAGAUGAGAGUGGCUGUUAAGACGCUGCGCAGCGGUGCCAGUGAAUAUGAGAAAGUUGAAUUCUUGAAGGAGGCUCAUCUGAUGAGCCAGUUUAAUCAUACUAACAUCCUGCGUUUGCUUGGAGUCUGCCUGCUGAAUGAACCUCAUUACCUCAUUCUGGAGCUGAUGGAGGGAGGAGACCUCCGUUCCUACCUGAGGGGAGCUCGACCUACCAAUAACCACAGAGAGCUACUAAAUCUAACCAGCCUUCUGGACAUCAGUUUGGAUGCCUCCAAAGGGUGUGCUUAUUUAGAAAGGAAGCGCUUUGUUCAUAGAGACUACUAUCCGGGUUGUCCAUGCCAGGGUUGUGACUCUUGCAUCUUUCACCGUGUGAAGUUGUCCGGCAGGGCCCGAGGAGUUCUUACAAACAGAUUGAUGGCAACAAUGAACAUGGAUGGUUGAGAGGUGAAGAAGGCCUUUGAAAAACACGGCUAUGUCAUGUUAUAAUAGGACCGGCAACGGAGCGGCCGUCGGCAGGACCAGCAAAGGACCGGCUGACGGCACGACUGGCUGAGGGGCGGGACCACCAGAGGAGCGGGUACGACUGGGACCUGCGGGCGGUACUGGCAAAGAUAUCCUCUGAGGACCACACCAGCUCAGGACCGGCUGACAGCACGACAGGCUGAGGGGCGCGACUGCCAGAGGUGCGGGCGCGGGCCGAACUGACAGAGUUUAGGUAAGUUUCUACCUCUGAAAGAACAGAUGAAGGCCCUGGUCUGGACAGCACAGCACAUGAAGGUCUAUAAAUACAUAAAACAAUAUAAUUAAGACCUGUUUUUACAAACAUUCAGACAUUAAACAACAGCUGUCUAUAAAAAUGUUGAAACAGCUAAACAUUACAUUAUAAAUGUUUAAGUUAAAACAGAGAGAACUUGAUAAACAUACUGAGCUGGAUGCAAAGUUCUCGCCCUUUUUCUAGUCUGUAUCUCCUGUAAAUAGAAACAAAGAUUGAAUGCAUGUAUAUUACACUACAUUUUACAUAUAGAUUGACAUUAGUUUUGUUUAGGACUCUGGUAAAUUUUUACCUGCGACAUAGCAUCAGUAUGGCGCUUGUGGGGCGCACAUGCUGGUGCUGGCUGCACUUGUGGAGAGGAAGGUCUAUAAAUACAUAAAAUAAAACAAUAUUUUUAAGAGCUGUUGCUGCAAAUAUUCAAACACUAACCGAAUGCUGCCUAUAAAAAGCAUGUUACAAAUGUUAAAGUUAUUUUGCUAAAACUUACUGAGCUAUAGACUUUGCCGCCUGUCUUCUCUUUCUUUGCUGCCUUCUCUUUUCUCUUUUUUUCUUCUUCUUUUGCUGCAAAUUAAACAAAUAGAGAUUUAAUGCAUGUAUAUUACACUACACAUAAAUUGGCAGUAGAUAUAUGUAGGGUUCUGGUAAAUUUCUACCUCUGAGACUGAGGUUGAAGGCCUAUAAAACACAUAAAACAAUAUUGUUAAGACCUGUUGCUUUAAAUAUUCAAACACUAAGCACAACUUUUCUAUAUAAUAACUGUAAAUGACCACAGCUAAACAUUAUAAAAAGAGAAUUUGUUAAACUUACAGAGCUACAGAAUUGCCUUUAAUUGUCAUUCUGGCUUUUUUCGCUUCAACCUCCCCCUCAUCAAAUGUGUGUGGCUGUAAAAAAAAGAGAUUUAAUGCAUGCAUAGCACACUACAUUUUACAUAUUAAUUGACAUUAGUUAUGUCUGACUCUGGUAAAUGUUUACCUGUGACAUAACAGCAGCACGGCGCUUGAGGGACGCACGUGCUGGCUGCACUUGUGGAGAGGAAGGUCUAUAAAUACAUAAAAUAAAACAAUAUUGUUAAGAGCUGUUGCUGCAAAUAUUCCAACACUUAACAUUUGCUAUUUGUAAAAUCCCUAAAGCAAAACGUUAUUUUACAAAUGUUCAACCUAAACACUUUAGAAUUUGUUAAACUUACUGAGCUACUGAAGUACAGAGGAUGUGGCCGGAAGUGGCCGGAGCAGCCCACGGUGGAACCGGCAGAGGACCGGGCCACGUUAAGACCUGCUGAUUAGCGGUCCAUGGCGGGACUUGCUGUGGAGCAGAUAACCGGCAACGGUCCGGCCAUCAGCAGAAACGGCGGAGGGGCGGGGCCGCCAGAGGCAUGGGCGCUACCAGCAGAGGAGCAGGUGCGGGCUGAACGGCCAGAAUAGCCGGCUGGGCCGGCAGAGGAGCGGGCGCGACUGGCAGAGGCACGGGUGGGACCUGCACAGGAUCGGCCGCGGGUCGCAGUGGCUGUCGGCAGGACCAGCAACAGAGCGGCCGUCGGCAGCACCCGCUGAGGACCGGCCGACGGCACGACUGGCUGAGGGGCAGGACCGCCAGAGGAGCAAGUGCGACCCCCAGAGGCAUGGGCGCUACCAGCAGAGGAGCAGGUGCGGGCUGGACGGCCAGAAUAGCCGGCUGGGCCGGCAGAGGAGCGGGCGCGACUGGCAGAGGCACGGGUGGGACCUGCACAGGAUCGGCCGCGGGUCGCAGUGGCCGUUGGCAGGACCAGCAACAGAGCGGCCGUCGGCUGGAUGGAUGGCCAGAAUAGCCGGCUGGGCCGGCAGAGGAGCGGGCGCGACUUGCAGAGGCACGGGUGGGACCUGCACAGGAUCGGCCGCAAGGUCGCAGUGGCUGUCGGCAGGACCAGCAACAGAGCGGCUGUCGGCAGCACCCGCUGAGGACCGGCCGACGGCACGACUGGCUGAGGGGCAGGACCGCCAGAGGAGCAAGUGCGACCCCCAGAGGAGCGGGCGCGGCCCCCAGAGGAGCGUGCGCGACCGGGACCUGCCCUCUGCCGGUCACACUCGCGGCCACAGUCUCAGGCUGAGCUGAACCUGAUAACCGAGAAUAAAAAUAAUAUGUCCUCUGAGGACCGGACCGGCUCAGGACCAGUGAAGUUCUGGACCAGCUCAGCAAUGGCCGACGGCAGCACCUGCAGAGGAGCAGCUGCGAGCCGCGGGUGCGACCGGCAGAGGGCCGGCCAAGGGCGGGACUGGCAGAGGUGCAGCCGUGGACACAGGCUCAGGCUGAGCUGAACCUGAUAAGCAAGAAUAAAAAUAAAUAUAUCCUCUGAGGACCACACCAGGUCAGGACCGGCCAAGUGCUGGACCGGCUUAGCAGUGGCCAUCAGCAAGACCGGCAACGGAGUGGCCGACGGCUGCACCUGCUGAGGACCGGCCGACAGCACGACCGACUGAGGGGCGCGACUGCCAGAGGCGCGGGCCGGACUGGGAGAGUAGCGGGCGGGACCCCCAGAGGAGCGGGCGCGACCGGGACCUCCAGAGGAGUGCCUGCGUGCUGCGGGUGCGACCGGCAGAGGGGCGGCCGUGGGCAGAUUUUUUUUAUAACUUACAGAUAUCCUCUGAGGACCGUACCGGCUCAGGACUGGCCAAGUGCUGGACCGACUUAGCAGUGGGCGGGUGCAGGGCCGGUGGACGAGCAGCAAUGGGUCGUCGUGUAACCCGGGCAGGUACUGGACAUAUGAGGGGGCGUACUGGUGUAUAUAUAUAUAAAUAAAUAUAAAAAUUUUCAGGGACUACCCAAUUGCUGUUUACAUAUUUACAUAAACAUGGCUAAAACAAAUAUUACAAAUGAUUAAGUAAAACAAAAGGUUAACAGCUGAACUCACGGAGCAUUAGAUCUUUGUCUAAAGCUCGCAUCCACCUCCUCAUAUGUCACAGUAACAGUCUGCAGGAAAAAUAACAAACUGAGAAUUAACAAAUGAUCAUUAAACUGAACUAAAAUUGAACUAUUUAUGAUCAAAUUUAAACCUGCAAGAUUUUCGCAGACUGAAUCCUGCCCGGGCCUGGCCUUCGACCAUUGGGCAUGGCAAAACCUGAUAAGCAAGAAUAAAAAUUACAAGUUAAAGAACAAUUGUGAAGCCCUCAAAUCUUAAUAAAUAUGUAUUACAACAUUUUAAUCUUACUUCGGUGGGUGGACAAACCGCGGGACACAAACAAAGGACCACCUUGAGCAUCCAAUGGACCUCCUGGAGGGAACUCCUCAACUAGCUUUGUUUUCUGCAUUUCCAGCCAAGUGGGACAGAGAAUUAAUACAUGCACAUUCAAUUUGUUUGUAACUUGGCACUAGUUAUGAUAAGGGCUCUGGUAAAACUCUAACCUGUGAAGCACAAGUGGGACGCUUGUGAGGAGUUAGUCCGAGGGAUCGUGAAUAGCUCAUAGAAGAAAGUCUAUAAAUACAAAUAAAACAUGUAAUAAAACUUGUUUGUGCAAACACUCAA